GAUGAACGCUAGCUACAGGCUUAACACAUGCAAGUCGAGGGGUAACGAGAGGGAAGCUUGCUUUCCUUGUCGACGACCGGCGCACGGGUGAGUAACGCGUAUCCAACCUGCCCCCAACUAGGGAAUAACCUUGCGAAAGUAAGACUAAUACCCUAUAAUUUCCUCAGAUGUCAUCUGACGAGGAAUAAAGAUUUAUCGGUUGUGGAUGGGGAUUCGUCUGAUAGCUUGUUGGCGGGGUAACGGCCCAACAAGGCAACGAUCAGAAGGGGUACUGAGAGGAAGUUCCCCCACAUUGGAACUGAGACACGGUCCAAACUCCUACGGGAGGCAGCAGUGAGGAAUAUUGGUCAAUGGGCGGAAGCCUGAACCAGCCAAGUAGCGUGCAGGAUGACGGCCCUAUGGGUUGUAAACUGCUUUUAUACAGGAAUAAAGUUAGCCACGUGUGGUUAUUUGUAGGUACUGUAUGAAUAAGGACCGGCUAAUUCCGUGCCAGCCGCCGCGGUAA
rnacentral:rRNA from 1 species